rnacentral:rRNA from 1 species
UACAGAGGUCCCAAGCGUUGUUCGGAUUCAUUGGGCGUAAAGGGUGCGUAGGUGGCGCCGUAAGUCAGGUGUGAAAUCUCGGGGCUUAACUCCGGAAACUGCAUUUGAUACUGCGGUGCUUGAGGACUGGGAGAGGAGACUGGAAUUUACGGUGUAGCAGUGAAAUGCGUAGAGAUCGUAAGGAAGACCAGUGGCGAAGGCGGGUCGUCUCGGACAGUUCCUGACACUGAGGCACGAAGGCCAGGGGAGCAAACGGG